rnacentral:rRNA from 1 species
UACGUAGGGGACCAGCGUUGUCCGGAUUUACUGGGCGUAAAGAGCGCGCAGGCGGUCGUUCAAGUCGAGUGUGAAAGCCCCCGGCUCAACUGGGGAGGGUCACUCGAUACUGAUCGACUUGAAGGCAGGAGAGGGAAGCGGAAUUCCCGGUGUAGUGGUGAAAUGCGUAGAUAUCGGGAGGAACACCAGUGGCGAAGGCGGCUUCCUGGCCUGUUCUUGACGCUGAGGCGCGAAAGCUAGGGGAGCAAACGGG